rnacentral:rRNA from 1 species
UACGUAGGCAGCGAGCGUUGUUCGGAGUUACUGGGCGUAAAGGGUGUGUAGGCGGUUCCCUAAGUUUGGUGUGAAAUCUCCCGGCUCAACCGGGAGGGUGCGCCGAAAACUGGGGGGACUAGAGUGCGGGAUGGGGAGAGUAGAAUUCCUGGUGUAGCGGUGAAAUGCGUAGAUAUCAGGAGGAAUACCGGUGGUGUAGACGGCUCUCUGGACCGCCACUGACGCUGAGACGCGAAAAGCGUGAGGAGCAAACAGGG